GGGUGGACAGGUGGUGGCAUGGUUGUCGUCAGCUCGUGUCGUGAGAUGUGGGUUAAGUCCCGCAACGAGCGCAACCCUCGACCUUAGUUGCCAGCAUUCAGUUGGGCACUCUAAGGUGACUGCCGGCUAAAAGUCGGAGGAAGGUGGGGAUGACGUCAAAUCAUCAUGCCCCUUAUGACCUGGGCUACACACGUGCUACAAUGGGCGGUACAAAGGGUCGCGAACCCGCGAGGGGGAGCCAAUCCCAAAAAGCCGCUCUCAGUUCGGAUUGCAGGCUGCAACUCGCCUGCAUGAAGCCGGAAUCGCUAGUAAUCGCGGAUCAGCAUGCCGCGGUGAAUACGUUCCCGGGCCUU
rnacentral:rRNA from 1 species